CGAACGAGAGCGACCGGUGCUUGCACUGGUCAAUCUAGUGGCGAACGGGUGAGUAACACGUGGGUAACCUGCCCAUCAGAGGGGGAUAACAUCCGGAAACGGAUGCUAAAACCGCAUAGGUCUUCGAACCGCAUGGUUUGAAGAGGAAAAGAGGCGCAAGCUUCUGCUGAUGGAUGGACCCGCGGUGCAUUAGCUAGUUGGUGAGGUAACGGCUCACCAAGGCCGUGAUGCAUAGCCGACCUGAGAGGGUGAUCGGCCACAUUGGGACUGAGACACGGCCCAAACUCCUACGGGAGGCAGCAGUAGGGAAUCUUCCGCAAUGGACGCAAGUCUGACGGAGCAACGCCGCGUGAGUGAAGAAGGUUUUCGGAUCGUAAAACUCUGUUGUUAGAGAAGAACAAGUGCUAGAGUAACUGUUAGCGCCUUGACGGUAUCUAACCAGAAAGCCACGGCUAACUACGUGCCAGCAGCCGCGGUAAUACGUAGGUGGCAAGCGUUGUCCGGAUUUAUUGGGCGUAAAGCGAGCGCAGGCGGUUCCUUAAGUCUGAUGUGAAAGCCCCCGGCUCAACCGGGGAGGGUCAUUGGAAACUGGGGAACUUGAGUGCAGAAGAGGAGUGUGGAAUUCCAUGUGUAGCGGUGAAAUGCGUAGAUAUAUGGAGGAACACCAGUGGCGAAGGCGACUCUCUGGUCUGUAACU
rnacentral:rRNA from 1 species